UACGGCAAUAUCACGUUGAAGCACAAGUUCCUGUACCAUCACCGAAGUUAAGCAUCGUUGAGCCUGCUCAGUACCUAGAUGUGUCACCACCUGGGAAUACCAGUGGCUGUA